rnacentral:rRNA from 1 species
GAGUUUGAUCUUGGCUCAGAUUGAACGCUGGCGGCAUGCCUUACACAUGCAAGUCGAACGGCAGCACGGGAGCUUGCUCCUGGUGGCGAGUGGCGAACGGGUGAGUAAUGCAUCGGAACGUAUCCUGGAGUGGGGGAUAACGUAGCGAAAGUUACGCUAAUACCGCAUAUUCUGUGAGCAGGAAAGCGGGGGACCUUCGGGCCUCGCGCUCUUGGAGCGGCCGAUGUCGGAUUAGCUAGUUGGUGAGGUAAAGGCUCACCAAGGCGACGAUCCGUAGCAGGU